rnacentral:rRNA from 1 species
GAAUAUUGGACAAUGGGGGGAACCCUGAUCCAGCCAUGCCGCGUGUGUGAAGAAGGCCUUUUGGUUGUAAAGCACUUUAAGCGAGGAGGAGGGGCCCUUGGUUAAUACCCAAGAUGCCUGGACGUUACUGGCAGACGAAGACCCGGCUCACUACGCUCCCGCAGCCGCGGUAAUACAGAGGGUGCAAGCGUUAAGUGGAUUUACUGGGCGGAAAGCGCGCGUAGGGAGCCAAUUAAGUCAAAUGUGAAAGCCCCGAGCUUAACUUGGGAAUUGCAUUCGAUACUGGUGGGCUAGAGGAUGGGAGAGGAUGGUAGAAUUCCAGGUGUAGCGGUGAAAUGCGUAGAGAUCUGGAGGAAUACCGAUGGCGAAGGCAGCCAUCUGGCCUAAUACUGACACUGAGGUGCGAAAGCAUGGGGAGCAAACA